rnacentral:rRNA from 1 species
GAAUUNANACGACUGCGUCGCGUAUGCACUAACAUNUGUACGUUGAUCUAUAGGAUCUCAGCAUCUGAGACCGCUCGGUCUNGACCAGCCUAACACAUGCAAGUCGAGCGGAUGACGGGAGCUUGCUCCUUGAUUCAGCGGCGGACGGGUGAGUAAUGCCUAGGAAUCUGCCUGGUAGUGGGGGACAACGUUUCGAAAGGAACGCUAAUACCGCAUACGUCCUACGGGAGAAAGCAGGGGACCUUCGGGCCUUGCGCUAUCAGAUGAGCCUAGGUCGGAUUAGCUAGUUGGUGGGGUAAUGGCUCACCAAGGCGACGAUCCGUAACUGGUCUGAGAGGAUGAUCAGUCACACUGGAACUGAGACACGGUCCAGACUCCUACGGGAGGCAGCAGUGGGGAAUAUUNGGACAAUGGGCGAAAGCCUGAUCCACUGCGUGUGUAGUUUG